rnacentral:lncRNA from 1 species
GCACUGGAAGCCUGAAUAGCAAUGGAAGAGGAAGAAGAAGAUGAUGAUCUCCUAGUGGAUUGAGGCUUAGGAUGGUUAUGGCUGCCCUUGUAAACUAUCUCAGUUAUCUGCCCGUCUAAGGAUCUCUCAACUUUCUUCUUUGUUGGGCAGUUUGGGUACGUGCACUUGUAGUAACUUCUGGGGUUUUCACUGCCUUUCACUUGCUUUUGUCCAUAUUUCCUCCAAUUGUAUCCAUCGUCGGAUUUUCGAUUCCCUCUUAAAGACUGAGAUUGUUGAUGCUGGUAAUUGGUGUAAUCCGAUUGGCAGCUUUGGAUGUUGGCUAUCUCAGGGGAAAAGCUCUGCAUCUGGUUGUAUUCCGAUUUCACCAUGUUCUUCCCUGAGGAAAAAUCAGCUUCCUUUACAGACUCUUUGAAGCUCCAUGCUUCUUGUUGCGCCUGCAAAUUGGAAAAAAACUCGAUGAAAAUCCUUUCCUUUAUAUUUUCAAAGAUCAAGGAUAAUCGUUUGAGUUGAAGUACACACAGUUUGAUUUGUGUUGGUUGAUGAUUGAAAGGUUUGGAAAGAGAAAUCAGUGUAGCUUUUGUCUACUCGUUUGACGUUUUGCUGGUUAUUACCAGAACUGGGUUUCCAAUUGAAAGCUUGAGCUGGAAAUGUUCCAGUUG